CCAAGGAAAAAGUAAUGCUAAGCAAAUUUAAUGAUGCAUAUAUAAUUGGGACAAUUGCAACAUUUGCAAUGUUUUGCCAAAGCGAAAUUGUAUCUUUCGUUUGCGUAUAAGGAAUGUGCCUCGUCAAAUUAUCAUCCAUCCCAGCUGAACAAAUACUGUCAAAGAUUUCAAAAAAUACCGUGAAGCAUUUGCUUUAUUAACGAUGUUACUCAAUAAAAAGAUAUUCAUUUGUGGCAUAACAAGUUCUCAAUUCGAUUCCAAGUACAUGGAGAGCGUAUGUUGAAAUUAAUAAAUCUAAAAUGGUGAUUAAGGAAGGAUUACUGUGCAUCUUUGAAAGUCAUUCAAUUCCUUAAUUAAAAACGACCAAUAUGCUGCGGUUCACCCUUAACAUCAUGUUUUUAACCAACGACAUCAUGGGUAGUAAAAUAAGUAAAACCAUAUUCAUAUUCUUUCUUAAUUUUCUCAAUUUUGAUCGUAUUUCGUUUUUUUCCACAACACCAGAUAUUAAAAUCGAUAAAGAACUUUUUCCAUCCGCAGUUGGGAGUACAUCAUUCCUACUUCGAUAUACUUUUGAAAGAGAAAAGUGAACCGAUUGGAAUUGUUUCGACAACACGAAUUUUACUUCUAGGUCAUAUAUUUAUGGCGAUGCCAAACAACAAUAUUGUUGAGACAGUAAGUUAAGCAAAUGGCUAAAUAAAUCCAAGACUGUUGUUGAGUGCUGUGGAUCUCNAUAUUAUCAGUAUCUACUCUUCUCGAUGAUCCUGGAAAAUUUUU
rnacentral:sRNA from 1 species